GAGUCUACAACCCACACAAGUGGCUCAGGUAGUGCAGCUAAUCCAGGAUGGCACAUCAAUGCGAGCUGUGGCAAGAAGGUUUGCUGUGUCUGUCAGCAUGGUGUCCAGAGCAUGGAGGCGCUACCAGGAGACAGGCCAGUACAUCAGGAGACGUGGAGGAGGCCGUAGGAGGGCAACAACCCAGCAGCAGGACCGCUACCUCUGCC